rnacentral:rRNA from 1 species
ACUCCUACGGGAGGCAGCAGUGGGGAAUAUUGCACAAUGGGCGAAAGCCUGAUGCAGCCAUGCCGCGUGUGUGAAGAAGGCCUUCGGGUUGUAAAGCACUUUCAGCGAGGAGGAAAGGUUAGUACGGUUAAUACCCGUCAGCUGUGACGUUACUCGCAGAAGAAGCACCGGCUAACUCCGUGCCAGCAGCCGCGGUAAUACGGAGGGUGCGAGCGUUAAUCGGAAUUACGUGGCGUAAAGCGCAUGCAGGCGGCCAAGUCAGUCAGAUGUGAAACGCCCCGGGUCUUAACCGUGGAAUUGCAUUUGAAACUGCUUGGCUAGAGUCCUUGAGAGGGGGUUAGGAAUUCUAGGUGUAGCGGUGAAAUGCGUAGAGAUCUGAAGGAAUACCAGUGGCGAAG